GACAUUUUUACCCACUGAGCCACCUUGCUGUCCCCUAUAGAGCUAUUUGAUGGGUUUUCUCUUCCCUCAUGUUCCUGUUUCACUGGAUAUACACCUUCUCCAACCCACGGUCAGAAAGAAGCAGCAGUUGCUAAUUGUUCUCUAGGGAUGUGAGCCUAGUGAUGUAAAAUCUGACUUCUCACACAGCUUGAAAUGAGCACUCACAUGAACUCUCCUGAACUCAAGGCUGCAAGUUCACUCUAAGAGCUGAGUCUCCUCCUGAUCCCUCUGACCACUGGCGGCAGGGACACCAAACAUGACUCAUACAAAGAAGAUGAUUGUGGAGUUGGAUUGACCGCAUUGUAUCCUGGCCUUAGUGCACAAUGUGUAUGUGACUUUGAGGAAGCUGAUUUCUCCCUGCCUCAAUUUCCACAUCUGUGAUAUGAGAAUUGCCCAUUCUACCUAUUCAGUAACCUAUUCUAAUGGCUUAAAUGAAGGAACAUGUGUGAAGCAUUUGGCACAGGCCAACCUCUCAUCAGUGCUAAUGUUUCCCAGGAUCCUUUGCUUUUCUCGGAGGAGUAACAAGCCUUGUAAGCUGCUGUUUUUGCAUUGCAGGUCCAAUUUGGCCAUGCUGGAGCUUGUGCCAACCAGGCUUCUGAAACCGCAGUAGCCAAGAACCAGGCCUUGAAGGAGGCAGGAGUGUUUGUGCCCCGCAGCUUCGAUGAGCUUGGAGAAAUCAUUCAGUCAGUGUAUGAAGAUCUUGUGGCCAAAGGAGCCAUUGUACCUGCUCAGGAAGUGCCACCUC